rnacentral:rRNA from 1 species
GAUGAACGCUGGCGGCGUGCCUAAUACAUGCAAGUCGAGCGAACAGACGAGGAUCUUGCUCCUCUGACGUUAGCGGCGGACGGGUGAGUAACACGUGUAUAACCUACCUAUAAGACUGGGAUAACUUCGGGAAACCGGAGCUAAUACCGGAUAAUAUAUUGAACCGCAUGGUUCAAUAGUGAAAGACGGUUUUGCUGUCACUUAUAGAUGGAUCCGCGCCGCAUUAGCUAGUUGGUAAGGUAACGGCUUACCAAGGCAACGAUGCGUGGCCGACCUGAGAGGGUGGUCGGCCACACUGGAACUGAGACACGGUCCAGACUCCUAAGGGAGGCAGCAGUAGGGAAUCUUCCGCAAUGGGCGAAAGCCUGACGGAGCAACGCCGCGUGAGUGAUGAAGGUCUUCGGAUCGUAAAACUCUGUUAUUAGGGAAGAACAAAUGUGUAAGUAACUAUGCACGUCUUGACGGUACCUAAUCAGAAAGCCACGGCUAACUACGUG